rnacentral:rRNA from 1 species
UACAGAGGUGGCAAGCGUUGUUCGGAAUUACUGGGCGUAAAGGGCGCGUAGGCGGUUCGUUAAGUCCUGUGUGAAAUCCCCCGGCUCAACUGGGGAACUGCACAGGAAACUAGCGGGCUUGAGUUCGGGAGAGGGAAGCGGAAUUCCGGGUGUAGCGGUGAAAUGCGUAGAUAUCCGGAGGAACACCGGUGGCGAAGGCGGCUUCCUGGACCGACACUGACGCUGAGGCGCGAAAGCUAGGGGGCAAACGGG